UGCGCCGCCAUUGAACCACAGUCAAGGACUGUGGUUGUUUACAUGGGACCCUAUGGCGGAAUCGUGUAGUUGGGUGCUUUCGUGCUCUAUUACAUGAAAUUAAAGGGGUGCAGGGAGAUUUCGGAUAGAGUCCCAUGAACAAAAUUCAUCAGAGAAAACGCUGAAACACAUUUUGGUUCUGAAGCUCAGCUCACCAGUGGAUGCAAGAAGAUGCAAACAAGAAGUUGUAUUUUUUGGAUUCCACUUCCAGGCAUAACUGUCAAGUGUCGAGCAGCCCAGUAUUGCCCCAUGGGUAUAUACUGCCUUGGCCCCAUGCAGUUUUCCUAAGGAUCACCAGGAAAGUAAGGAGUGGCGAGGAAGAGGCUGUUCUACCCUGGUCAGACACACAGCAAAGCUGACACAGCCAGCAGAGCUCUGCAACAGCAAUGGGUCUGCUACCACUUGGUUGAAAGCAUCCUGGCUUCUGGAACGAUAAGACUGGGCUGCAGCAGCAGCUGCAGCUCUGUUGACGCUUUUGGUUGACGAGUGACAGUCUAAGUCGGCCUCGGUUGUCGGCCAAAGGCCGCCGCGGCGCCUAGUGUGGUGAUGGCUGCAAUGUCUGAUGGCGUCUGUGUGAAAGCACAUGCUUAUAGCAGAGAAGAACUUUGUUUCACACAACGCUGUAUGUUAAAAGUGAUUUGUUAUACGGUGCAUUUCUAGAUAUCUCGGUCAGUGUAUUUGAUGGUGUAUUUUCUCUCGCUGCUUGCCUCGGAUUCCGCAUCGUUCAUUGUGAGCCGUGAGGGGAUAGCUAGGUAGCGGCGAUUCGCCACUGUGCACAUGAUUAACAGGGCCAGCGUGUGCUGCAUUGUUGGGGUCCGUCUGUUGUUUGGCAUUGCAUAAAUAUUUGGUCAGCUCAGCUGUGGCCAUUGGUUGGGAAAGCUGGCCUGCAGGGACGAUUGCCGGACGGUACGUGGCGGGGCGGUGGUCUGUCGGUUGCUGGGACUGAGUCGAGCCGACUGGGUGCUGCGAGACGCGGACGUAAUGUCUACUACAGACCUACACAAUGCUUUAAAGGCCAAAAAUGUUAAUGUAGGCAUUUUAUGUAAACCUCCGUAAAAAUCAUUUGACGCAAGGCUGGUUCGUUAUAAGACGGCGAAAAUCGAGCGGGUUAUUUGUGUACUGUAUACUUAUCCCCUUUCUGAAUGAUUGUAGCGAUUGUAGCGAGAGUCAGUGUCGUCGACUAUGCUCGAGGCUGUGAGACACGGUAGCUGGUGUGGUCGAUGGAGGGGGGGGGGGGGGGUGGCAGCAGGAGGACGAGACUGAACGGAAGACGUUUGAUGUGAAAUGCCUUAUGCCGUAGUAUCAAAGUAGUAUCCACUAGUGACUUUGCUUGCUAUCGCUGCGCAUGGAAAUGAUGAUAAAAUUUGAAAACGA